rnacentral:lncRNA from 1 species
AUAUUUUGUGAGGAGUAAGGAGAGGAAGAUUUUGGCUGCUACUACAACUACUAUUCAUAUCAACAAUGACUUCCGCAAGUAUGAAUUCGUUUCUAUUAAUUUAUUAUAUGGUGAUUCUUGAUUCUUGGCAUGAUUACAAAUAAAUUUCAACAAUUGGUAUCAGAGCCUUCAUGCUAAGAUCAAAAUCCCUAAAUGAAAUAAUAUUCUGUCUCGUUUUUUCUACUAGAAUAAUCAAAAGUUAGAUUUUCAUAUGUUAUUAUUUUCUGGCAAUUUGCGGGAGUUAAUUCUUAUCCUCCUCAUCAACAACUUGAUUCUAUAUACACGCAUUACACUGUUUAGCACUUGCACAUCAAUUCCCUUUUGGUUUAAAAUUGGCACAGCAAAACCCCGACUGCGCCGCCAUCACCAUGUGACCCCUACACCCAUGUAUUUUUAUUUAUUUAUUUAUUUUUCUUCUUUCCCAUUCUCCAGUAACUUUGAACAUUCCCACUGCUUGAAGGUUCUAGCCCGUUAAUGGCGAUGAAACACUUAUCCAAAUUUCUCUCCCCUUCCAUACCCAGUUAAAAAUCAGAGGUCCAAAACUCUACGUUACUCUGCAACUGUAAAUAAAUAAUCAACUUGGGCGAUAAAGAAGAGUUUUCACCAAUUCCUUUUUCAUUUUUUUUUUCACGCUCGUGGUUUCUUGAUUAUACAUUCAGAAACCGAAACCCAAUCCCUAUGUGGAGUGAUAAUUAAUUUGAGGGUUUUCUUUAAUUUCUC